CGCCUGCGCAGUGGGUGUGAUCCGGGCACUUGGGGCAGGAUGAACGCUGCUUUCCAAGAUGGCGACGGAGGGAGGAGGGAAGGAGAUGAACGAGAUUAAGACCCAGUUCACCACCCGGGAAGGUCUUUACAAGCUGCUACCGCAUUCGGAGUACAGUCGGCCCAACCGAGUGCCCUUCAACUCGCAGGGGUCCAACCCCGUGCGCGUCUCCUUCGUCAACCUUAACGACCAGUCUGGCAACGGCGACCGCCUCUGCUUCAAUGUGGGCCGGGAGCUCUACUUCUACAUCUACAAGGGGGUCCGCAAGGCUGCUGACUUGAGUAAACCGAUAGAUAAAAGGAUAUACAAAGGAACACAGCCUACAUGUCAUGACUUCAACCACCUAACAGCCACAGCAGAAAGUGUCUCUCUACUGGUGGGCUUUUCUGCAGGCCAAGUCCAACUCAUAGAUCCAAUCAAAAAAGAAACUAGCAAAUUAUUUAAUGAGGAAAGACUAAUAGACAAAUCCAGAGUAACCUGUGUAAAAUGGGUGCCAGGCUCGGAAAGCCUUUUCCUAGUAGCUCAUUCCAGUGGUAAUAUGUACUUAUAUAAUGUGGAACACACUUGUGGUACCACAGCUCCACACUACCAGCUACUUAAGCAAGGAGAAAGCUUUGCAGUCCACACUUGCAAGAGUAAGUCCACAAGAAACCCUCUCCUUAAGUGGACAGUGGGAGAAGGUGCCCUGAAUGAGUUUGCUUUUUCCCCCGAUGGGAAGUUCUUAGCAUGUGUGAGCCAAGAUGGCUUUCUCCGGGUAUUUAACUUUGAUUCAGUGGAGUUGCACGGUACAAUGAAAAGCUACUUUGGAGGACUACUAUGUGUUUGUUGGAGCCCAGAUGGGAAAUAUAUUGUAACUGGUGGAGAGGAUGACUUGGUGACAGUUUGGUCUUUUGUGGAUUGUCGAGUAAUAGCAAGAGGCCAUGGACAUAAAUCAUGGGUCAGUGUUGUAGCAUUUGACCCAUAUACCACUAGUGUAGAAGAAAGUGACCCAAUGGAAUUUAGUGGCAGUGAUGAGGAUUUCCAAGACCUCCUUCAUUUUGGCAGAGAUCGAGCAAAUAGUACGCAAUCUAGGUUAUCAAAAAGGAACUCUACAGAUAGUCGCCCAGUAAGCGUUACAUAUAGGUUUGGCUCGGUAGGCCAAGAUACACAACUCUGUUUAUGGGACCUUACAGAAGACAUUCUUUUUCCCCACCAACCCCUCUCCAGAGCAAGGACACAUACAAAUGUCAUGAAUGCCACAAGUCCACCUGCAGGAAGUGGUGGAACCAACCCAGGAAGCAAUGGAAACAGCAUCACAAUGCCUGGAAAUUCUGUGCCCCCGCCUCUUCCACGGUCCAACAGCCUUCCACACUCUGCAGUCUCGAAUGCCGGCAGUAAAAGCAGCGUCCUGGACGGUGCCAUUGCCUCUGGUGUCAGCAAAUUUGCAACUCUCUCACUACAUGACCGGAAAGAAAGACACCAUGACAAAGAUCACAAGCGAAAUCAUAGUAUGGGACAUAUAUCUAGCAAGAGUAGUGACAAACUGAACCUAGUUACUAAAACCAAAACGGACCCAGCUAAAACUUUGGGAACUUCUCUGUGCCCCCGAAUGGAAGACGUUCCCUUAUUAGAGCCUCUUAUCUGUAAAAAGAUAGCACAUGAAAGACUGACUGUGUUAAUUUUUCUUGAAGACUGUAUAGUCACUGCUUGUCAGGAGGGAUUUAUUUGCACAUGGGCAAGGCCUGGUAAAGUGCCAUCAAAACACUUCUCUAAUCAGGAGGACAGAAUACAAGACAUAAUUGAACUGGGCAGCGCCCUGGGACCUCCAUCCCUGAAUGCUUCAAUGCAGGAGUUCCAGGCCUACACUCACACAAGUCACCAUCAGAGGUACCACUGAGUAGUGGUUCCUGGGUUCUUGGAUCUGAGAGGAAAAGAGCUCCUAUAGAUUCUGAAGAGGUGUCAAAUUCUACAUUCCAAUUGGUAUUUGCUUCCUGGUCUUGUCUAGAUUAAAGGAUCUAAGUUACAGGAACCUAACUUUAAGGGUUUAUUGUCAUCCCAAAACCAGGCCAAUUCUCCAAGUGGAACUGUAGUGUAGCCAUCCCACUACUGCGAACAAAACCCACCCCAGGACAAGGAAUAAUGACAAGGGCACCAAGAGCUGCUCUCCUCAGCCACAAAGCAUCGACGUGUCUAAAAUGGCCGAAUGUAAACCUGGAAUUCUGGGGAACAUAGUGUGGUACAGAAGAGUAACGUCAUAGGUCCUUUUCCAGUGUUGUUUCCUUGGCUGCUUACCCAAAGAAUUUUCUGUUUUAAAGUAAUUCUUUUGGUAUUGCAGUUAAAAUGAGAAACUAGGUUUUCUUGCUUUUUACUUUAAAGUUCAAUGUAAUUAAAAUAUAUAUAUCAUAUAUAUAUGCAUAUAUAUAUAUACACAUACAUAUAUAUGUAUGUAUGUAUGUAUGUAUAUACAUAGUGUAAGAUAAAAUGUUUCUUGGACAAAAAUACCCUCAAGUUCAGUUGUUAUAAAAUAGUACUUAACCAUUGUUUGUUUUUUGCACUGAUUUUUUUAUACUUGAGGUGGUAAGACAACCUAGGAAUGCACUCAGAGAGUCAUUUUUCUGACUUCAAUAUAUAAUUCAGGAAGAUGGAUGCUGCAAUCAUAGAUUUGUUUUAAAAUUGCACUUAAGAUAGUUUAAUGUUAGUAGAGUACUUUAAAUAUGGGUAAAUGUACUUCCCAGCAAUGCUAAGUUGUGGAGAUAAGAAAUCCUUUGUAUCUAUUAAACCUUUAUUUUAAUAAUAAUGUUUCUAAUUACAAUCAGCUCUGUAUUAUAUGUAUAAAUGUAAUUUGGUGAUUGGGGAAAAUGGUUUUCACCUAGUAAUUUUCAUCAUCAUUUAAGAGUAUUUCUAACUUAGAAAAACAUUAAUAUUAAACUAUUUUAAAUAUGCAGCUUGUUUAUUUUCUGUUAAAUUGGCUCAGUUUUGAUGUAAUCAUUCUUUUGUUGAAUUAAAUGUCUGGUUAAUAAUUAUUUUAUUCCUUGAACACCUUGUCCUCUCCAGGCCUUUAAAUUUCAAUUUCACUGCGGCUAUUCAUGAAACUACUAAUACUAUACUGAAUUUAUUCUCUAGAACUCAGUCUCUACCUUCCUUCUGUUCUUUUCUACAAGGAUAAUUUUUUUUUAAAGGCCUUUGUGUGUUAUGACAUGGAAUCUUCAAAGUUUGUGUUUUUUAAGUUUACCAUUCAAUUCCUUUGACAACAUUAAUCCUUUUGUGCAAAGAUCUAUAAUCAUAGUUAACUUACAUAUGUCUUCUGAGGUCAAAAAUUAGAUUACAACUAUAAGGUCAAUUUGCAUUUGGAAACUUUACAGUAAUCUAAGCAUGAUUAAGGAUUAAGCAUAAAGGUGCUUUUCAUACUAAUCAAUCAAAUGUAAGAUGAUCCAAGAUGUCUAAUUAUUUCUCAGGUCUAAUUUUUUUUUCUUUUAAACUAAUUAAGUUGCAUACAAGUGACCCUUUAUCUCAGGUUCUCUCCAAACAUAUUUGUAUAACAUCCUCCAGAAAAACUGUCACUCCAGCAAUUGCCAAGUAGAAAAAUAUUUCUCAUUA